UACGUAGGGGGCCAGCGUUGUUCGGAUUUACUGGGCGUAAAGGGCGCGUAGGCGGUCAGUGCAAGUCAGUUGUGAAAUCUCCGGGCUUAACUCGGAAAGGUCAACUGAUACUGCUCGACUAGAGUGCGGAAGGGGCAACUGGAAUUCUUGGUGUAGCGGUGAAAUGCGUAGAUAUCAAGAGGAACACCUGCGGCGAAGGCGGGUUGCUGGGCCGACACUGACGCUGAUGCACGAAAGCUAGGGGAGCAAACAGG
rnacentral:rRNA from 1 species